ensembl:lncRNA
AAAAAAUAUCCCACUUUGGCACUCCCUAUUGGUAGCCAUGGAAAUAACUGGGCUUAAGUAUAACAAUGCCAGAAGAGUAAUGUAAAAUGAUAAUAGUAUUUUAUAUUUUAAUUGGUAAUUUGCAUGAUGGUUUCCAGACACUAACAAUUACAUUUAUGGUACGAAUCGUUUUAUUGUUUUAAAAAACAUUGAUAUCUGAUAGUCAAAUAACCAUAACCUAACCGUAUGCAAUCAAAAACUAAAUAAGUUCAGCAUUCACCAGUUUAUGAUUUAACAUGUCAGUUUGUGGGCUUAUUAUUAUUAUUAUUAUUGUUAUGGGUCUCAAUGUAUGCAUGAUGUGUACUUGAGAAUUCAAAGCAGCCCUUUGAGGCAACACACUAAACCAUGGGCUCUGUGGUCCCUGCCACUGGAGAGAUAGCUGGUCCACUUUGAUUUGAUUUCACUGCUGAGUGUCUGGACUCCUUCAAGAGAUCAACUGGUGCCCUCCAGGAGCUAAAUGUAUCACUGCUGCUCUUCAUCUCUCUCAGUGCUGCUGAUCCAGAGGCAUUAGUGGUCACAUACUCACAGAGGGAAAACCGCUUUCAUGGAGAGCAUCAAACAUUCAAUGAAUAGUCCCUCAAAUCUAUGUGAACUUUAGACUUUUGCUGAACCUGUGGUCCCUUAUUGUGCUUUUUUUUUUUUUUUUGCUGUCACUAUGAUUUCAGUUUGUGAUUUUCUUAAAUAUUCUUUUUUUUCAUUUUCCUUUUUCCUCUGUCUGUUUUCAUGUUUGUGGUGUCCUAUAUUUAACCUGUAUUCACUGUUCUCUGUAUUCUUCAGUUGUUAACACAUAUGCUUUGACUAGGGAGCACUUUGAUUGUUGUACUGUUGAGUGCUUAAAAAGAAUGCAACUGGACUUCUUUGGGUUUUUUUUGAAGAUGCUUCUUCAGCUCUAGAACAACUGGUGGAGAUUCCCAGGUAAGAAUGUCAGACAUCAGCCAUGGAGGAGCAGAAUGACAGAAAAAACAACACUGUCAUCCCUUAUGCAGCAGGCUCUAAAAAACUCCAAAGACCCUUCUGGUGUAUUUCAGCAGCACCCUCAGACAAAAACUGUUUAAUUCCAAGGGAAAAAACCACUCAAGUAGAAGCUAAACAAGGUAAUGUGGUGCAGCUCAGUGAGGUGUGCUCAGACUUCUGGAUAGAAGAAACCACUUUCUGAAGGUCUUUCAAAGUUUUUCUUUGGAUAUUGGUUGUUUUUUCCUUGUACUUGACCCUUUUCAAAUUUCCUUUUUUGUUUGUUAACCCACUUAAAGGCUAAUCUACAAUCAGGUCUGCAGUGGAACAGAAAAAAACCAGCCCUUGCAUUUUUGUAGUGGUUGGUUUAUUUCUUAGUUGCUAUUUAAAGAAACCACAAGAAGCUUCCUUAAGAGAGUUCAGGCUGUGCUGAAGAAUAAAGGUGGUCAUAAAAAAUACUGACUGUUUUUGCUACUUCGAUGUGUAUUUGCAUGUUUCAAUAAAUCUCUGC